rnacentral:snRNA from 1 species
GAAUGCAGCCCCAAUCGGG